CAGUUCGGAUUGGAGUCUGCAACUCGACUCCAUGAAGUUGGAAUCGCUAGUAAUCCUGGAUCAGAAUGCCAGGGUGAAUACGUUCCCGGGUGUUGUACACACCGCCCGUCACGCUAUGGGAGUUUGUAAUACCCGAAGUUGGUAGCCUAACCUUUUAGGAGGGGGCCAACGAAGGUAGGACAAGUAACUGGAGUGAAGUCGUAACAAGGUAUCCCUACCGGAAGGUGGGGAUGGAUCACCUCCUUUCUAUGGAGA
rnacentral:rRNA from 1 species